GGAGCUCCUCGCCGACGAGGUGGCGCCCGAGUCGGCGGCUCGGGACUCGGGUGCCUCCCGGGUCCUGGUGCGGUACCGACCGCUGGGUCCCG
rnacentral:tRNA from 1 species